rnacentral:rRNA from 1 species
GACGAACGCUGGCGGCGUGCUUAACACAUGCAAGUCGAACGAAGUGGCGAACGGGUGAGUAACGCGUAAUCAACCUGCCCUUCAGAGGGGGACACCAGAUGGAAACGACUGCUACUCCCGCCUACUGAAGGAGGGGAUUGCGUGUGGUUUCCUAGUUGGAGGGGUAACGGCCCACCAAGGCGAUGAUCCGUAGCCGGUCAGAGAGGAGGAACGGCCAAAUUGGGACGGAGACACGGCCCAGACGCCUACGGGAGGCAGCAGUGGGGAAUCUUCCGCAAUGGACGAAAGUCGGACUGAGCAACGCCGCGUGAGUGAUGACGGCCUUCGGGUUGUAAAGCUCUGUUAAUCGGGACGCGGUACCGGAAUAGAAAGCCACGGCUAACUACGUGCCAGCAGCCGCGGUAAUUC